rnacentral:rRNA from 1 species
GACGAACGCUGGCGGCGUGCUUAACACAUGCAAGUCGAACGGAAAGGCCCUGCUUUUGUGGGGUGCUCGAGUGGCGAACGGGUGAGUAACACGUGAGUAACCUGCCCUUGACUUUGGGAUAACUUCAGGAAACUGGGGCUAAUACCGGAUAGGAGCUCCUGCUGCAUGGUGGUGGUUGGAAAGUUUCUGCGGUUGGGGAUGGACCCGCGGCUUAUCAGCUUGUUGGUGGGGUAGUGGCUUACCAAGGCUUUGACGGGUGGCCGGCCUGAGAGGGUGACCGGCCACAUUGGGACUGAGAUACGGCCCAGACUCCUACGGGAGGCAGCAGUGGGGAAUAUUGCACAAUGGGCGGAAGCCUGAUGCAGCAACGCCGCGUGCGGGAUGACGGCCUUCGGGUUGUAAACCUCUUUCGCCUGUGACGAAGCGUGAGUGACGGUAAUGGGUAAAGAAGCACCGGCUAACUACGUG